GAAUAGAAACCCAGAGCUGGAAAACACCGGAUCCUCAAUUUUACAGGUAGGGGAACCAUCGGCCCAGAGAGGGGGGUAACCAGCCUCGGGUCACACAGCCAGAAUUAGCUGGGCGUCUUCCGAACACGCCACGCUGCCCUGGGAUCACCAAUUGCUUAAAGGGUCCUGACACCGCAAACUAGGGCCCCACCACUCCUCGGCCCUGUGACGCCCGACAGCGGGGAGCGGGAAGCUCCUCUCGGGAGGCCCCGGGCAGCCACAGGGAGUGGGGCCCAGCUCCAGACCUACUCGGUGGCCCGCACGAAGCUGCACGUGUCUGCCCGGCACACGUAGAAGCUCUUUCCUUUAUUCGGGCCAUCGCGGACGCCGGUCUUAAGAAAGCAGAAAGUCCCUGAAGAGAGAAGAAAGUGAACAACGAUUACGCCACGCUAAAUCAACAGGCCCCGGGACGCUGAGACCCUAGCCCCUUACCGUGCUCUGGACACCUAACUUCUUCCAUUUCGCUGGGUCCCCCAAGUUCCACAAAGCCCCGCCCCCAAUUCUGCUUCCGCCUUUUACUCCGCCCUCUUUGUUCAGGAACCAACCAUCACUCAGCUCUUGCAGUCUUAAUCCCUCCCAUAAUUCUCCGCCCUUGGCCUUCACCCGUCCUAGCCGCUAUCAGCCAAUCAUAUAGGAACUUCGCUCACCUCCAACCAAUCACAGCUGCCCUCAGGUUUAUCUUUUAAAAACCGUAUACCUGUUUUACAAGGAUCUCACAAAGAUUAACAAUAUGUAUGCUAUGAAGGAUCCCAUCUGCCUCAGAGAAGAUACGCUUUUCAUCACAGACUGUAUACUUUUUACAGUUCUUAUCUAUUUAUUCUACUGCAAAAACUGCCGAUUCUACAGAGCCUAUUAAUUCCACUGGGAAAACAUGUACGGAAUGUGCUCAUGAGUAUGGGACUUCCUGUAAUUGUUGGAAAGAAGAAAAAGGCUGAUAGAAAAAACAUUUUGGCCUGGCACUCAGGAGAAAACUUCUGCUGAGGAAUGAACAGGGAAAAACAAUGAUGGACCACCUCAAGGAACAAAUCGGAUAGCUUCGACUUCCCCUCUGGAAGCCCUGCUGCGCUGGGAUGCACCUAUCCCUACUUCUUAGAUGUUCCCAUAUGUUCUCAACAGCAUUCUGUCCCUCCUAAGCAGUGUCACUAAAGCUAGCUGGUCUCUUAGGAUUGUUACCUUUAUUGAUGAUUUUCCCUUUGUGCUUCCUGGUGUCUGGCACCAAGACCACACCCCUACUUCUCCAAUGGCCCUUUCCCUCAGUAAGCUUAGCUUAUUGCUCACCUCCCACCUUCUCCCUGAACCCCAGCAGAAAGACAUGGACCUGUCAGAUGCUCCCGAUAUUUAAGUGUCUAUGCCAAAAUCUCAUGUGGACCUUGUUUGUUCAAAUGAGUUACUAUUGAGAGAGACAGCAAAGUCAUCUUCUUUAGGGAACCUGAAAAUUGUCUUCAGUCUGAAAAUUGUCUUCAGAAGGAGCAAAAGAUAGGUGAGAGGGAGAGGAUAAGAGGAGAGCCAUGUAUUCUCCUGACCAUGAGCUCGCGGUAGAUAAACCCCUGGUUACCUGAAGGCAGCACCGUGAGCACCAUCCGCUGUGACUCAUCGGAUGCUUGAUUAAUCCACUUGCUUGGGUGUCCAUGGAGCUGCCACUCUGCCACCCUACACCAGUACAUUCCUGCAUCCUCCAUCUCCACCUGAUGAAGCUUCAGGACAAAGUCUGUAGAGGAUGAACGGUAACAGUGCAGGUGCCUCCUGAGCCCCUCUUCCCCAUACUCCAGCAAGCCAUCAUGUUGCAAGUGCACCAGCAAUUUACUUCCAGAGUUUUCUCUGUUCCAGUACCACAUCACAGAGUACAGAGUGGCUGAGCUGCCUACACUCUCCAGGCUGCAGCGGAUGGCCACUUCUCUGUGCUCAGUCACAUUUUCGGUCCAGUACACUUUGGAGACACGUACCUUACUUCCUAGAAAAUAAAAUGGCAGUAAAUUAGAGAAUGCAGACUUUCAGAUUUGGAUACCACCUCUGAAAAAUCUAGUUCUCACUGGGAAGAUCUUAUAUUCUUUAGACAUCAGUGCAUUCAUUUUAUUUUUUUUAUUAUUUUUAUUUUUUGAGACAGAGUCUUGCUCUGUCACCCAGGCCAGAGUGCAGUGGCAUGAUCUCAGCUCACUGCAACCACUGCCUCCUGGGUUCAAGCAAUUCUCCUGCCUCAGCCUCCCAAGUGGCUGGGAUUACAGGCGUGUGCCACCAUGCCCAGCUGAUUUUUGUAUUUUUAGUAGAGACGGGGUUUCACCAUGUUGGCCAGAUUGCUCUUGAGCUCCUGGCUUCAAGUGAUCUGCCCACCUCAGCCUCCCAAAGUGUUGGGAUUACAGGCAUGAGCCACCACGUCCAGCCACAUUCAUUUUAAUUCUUGUCCUUGGUCCCUGUUUUUCUCUCACAUUUGCCAGGACAUUCUCUGCUAGGAAUCAAACCAGCCUCUUUCCUUCUUUAGCCCAACUGCUUGCCUGCUGGACCCUGCCAUUGAAAACUACACAGCUUCUGCAGGGCCCUCUGCCUGCUGCUUUUACUUACCCUUGAUUCACUCCUCCUCUACUUCCCAAAGUGGUCAUUCACAACUUUUAGCAGCUCCCUCAAGCCAUGUAUUCCACCAGUACCCCUCAUUCUUAGCAAAUUACUCUCCUCCCAUACACCCAGAUAUUAUCUUGGGUGUAAACGCAGAGAGAGAGGACGCCAUCCAAGAGACUGAACAUUUUGAUGCAAGUGUUAGAAGGCCAUCCAUGGGAGCUAUUUAGAUGAUUGGAUUAGACUGAGUUUUAAAGAGAUUUUGACAUUUACUUUUUUUCCCCUUGCUAACCAGCAGGUGAGGAUUUAGAAUAACAGCCAAAGUAGUUACAAACAAAAUAAAGAAAUUAUAGUGUGCAUUACAUUUUCAAUUCCA
rnacentral:lncRNA from 1 species